UAGAAAAAUGAAAAAUCCUUUUUUAAUUAGAAUUAUAAAAACUCAUGUGAGACCCCAAAUGGGCUUCUCCGAUAAAGAAAGAAAAUUAAUUAAACCUAAAACUUGUGUAUUUUGGAAAAUACGACUGGGCCAAGUUAUGCCUAUAUUUUUGGAAGCCUACCAAAACCCGUCUAGACCGCUUGUGGAGGACAUUAGUUUUCUGGUUCGGAAAUGUUUGAGAUUAAACCGGUUUGACUGAUAAUCAGUCAGUCCGAUUUGGGUAAAUUGAUGGUUUAGCGAUUUUGAUAUGCUGGCUUGUUUUGCCGCUCUGGUUCGCCGGUUUGGUCUCUUCUUCUUCUACCCCUCUGCUUUGUUUGGUUUGCGAUCUUCGGUUGUCUGCUCUAUUUCAGGGGAAUCUCUCAACCGAUAUCCUCUCAAUCACUAUAUUAUCUCUGCUACCGGCAUAAGGAGUUACAUGAUGCUACUUGGACUGUUACAGAGACUGCUUGAAUGAAACAUUGAGAAUUUUGGGGGUCUUGAGAAUGAAGUUUUGGGGAGGCUUUUUAGUGAUCGUUGGUUCCAUUUCCUUCAUUGAAUUUGUGUUUGUAGCUAUAGUCUCCAAAUUGUUUCCACUCUCUGACAAUCCCAUUAUCCAAGCUAUUCAGAAUGACAGGUACUACUGCUUCUUGGCUCCACUGACUCUACCAGCUCUUCUGGUUGCUGUCUACUUUCAUUGGCUUAGUAUGAAGCUCUUCAAGCACGCAUGAUACAUCUCACGUAGCAACAUCUUACUCCAAGAUUUCGUAACAUCUGGCU